rnacentral:rRNA from 1 species
AGCGAACGCUGGCGGCAGGCCUAACACAUGCAAGUCGAACGGACCCUUCGGGGUUAGUGGCGGACGGGUGAGUAACACGUGGGAACGUGCCUUUAGGUUCGGAAUAGCUCCUGGAAACGGGUGGUAAUGCCGAAUGUGCCCUUCGGGGGAAAGAUUUAUCGCCUUUAGAGCGGCCCGCGUCUGAUUAGCUAGUUGGUGAGGUAACGGCUCACCAAGGCGACGAUCAGUAGCUGGUCUGAGAGGAUGACCAGCCACACUGGGACUGAGACACGGCCCAGACUCCUACGGGAGGCAGCAGUGGGGAAUCUUGCGCAAUGGGCGAAAGCAUGACGCAGCCAUGCCGCGUGAAUGAUGAAGGUCUUAGGAUUGUAAAAUUCUUUCACCGGGGACGAUAAUGACGGUACCCGGAGAAGAAGCCCCGGCUAACUUCGUG